ACAACCCACGUAGGAAGGGCGGCACCGCGCCCCGCGAGCGCACGGCGCCUCCGGAAGGGGCUCACCGCGAAGCCCGAGAACAAUUAACGGUGCUUCCAUGAACCGGCGCGCGGGGCCAGGGUUGCGUAAGUCCGCGCCCUCGCCCCAGGACUCCCCGGACACCCAGGCUUGACCGCUCGGUGACCACGGGCCUGGGGCUAAGGGCGGCAGCGACGCCAGAGUAUAUGCACGGCUCAAGGUGGCCCUUCUCCCGAUUCUCACAGCUGUUCGGAUGGAGUUCAGCAUUCAAGAUCAGAUCUCGCCACACAUCUUCGGAAGGAAACCGGUCAUUUACAUACGAAAAGGAGCCCUGGGACCCGCAGAGGCAGAACCACCCCAAACGCGGCAAGAACGCAGCCUCCAGUUCCUAUCACAGCUCAACACUCCCCUGCCUCCACGAUAAACAGUAUCACCUUAAAUAAUUUGGAAGGGUGGGGGGGGGGGGCGCUGAUGCUUGUUGGCAUUAAGGGAAAAAAAAAAGACCAGUGUGCUCAACCAUUUUUUAUUCAUUUGGCUUGGGGUUUAGAAGUAAACAUGCUUGAAUAUCUGGAAUGACCAGAAACCGGACGCCUGUGUGAGAAAAUGGUGUAACAACAACAAAAGGUGUAACAAAAUACACGUUUCAAGAGGUUAAA